rnacentral:rRNA from 1 species
CCAACCCAAUGUGACCAUACCAAACUGUUGCCUCGGCGGGGUCACGCCCCGGGUGCGUCGCAGCCCCGGAACCAGGCGCCCGCCGGAGGGACCAACCAAACUCUUUCUGUAGUCCCCUCGCGGACGUUAUUUCUUACAGCUCUGAGCAAAAAUUCAAAAUGAAUCAAAACUUUCAACAACGGAUCUCUUGGUUCUGGCAUCGAUGAAGAACGCAGCGAAAUGCGAUAAGUAAUGUGAAUUGCAGAAUUCAGUGAAUCAUCGAAUCUUUGAACGCACAUUGCGCCCGCCAGUAUUCUGGCGGGCAUGCCUGUCCGAGCGUCAUUUCAACCCUCGAACCCCUCCGGGGGGUCGGCGUUGGGGAUCGGGAACCCCUAAGACGGGAUCCCGGCCCCGAAAUACAGUGGCGGUCUCGCCGCAGCCUCUCCUGCGCAGUAGUUUGCACAACUCGCACCGGGAGCGCGGCGCGUCCACGUCCGUAAAACACCCAACUUCUGAAAUGUUGACCUCGGAUCAGGUAGGAAUACCCGCUGAACUUAAGCAUAUCAUAGGCGGGGGGGAAGA